GAAAGAAUAUCGGAGACGGAUGGGCAUGCGGCGCAUUAGCUAGUUGGCGGGGUAACGGCCCACCAAGGCGACGAUGCGUAGGGGUUCUGAGAGGAAGGUCCCCCACACUGGUACUGAGACACGGACCAGACUCCUACGGGAGGCAGCAGUGAGGAAUAUUGGUCAAUGGGCGAGAGCCUGAACCAGCCAAGUCGCGUGAGGGAGUACUGCCCUAUGGGUUGUAAACCUCUUUUGUCGGGGAGCAAAAGCCGGACGUGUCCGUCUGUGAGAGUACCCGAAGAAAAAGCAUCGGCUAACUCCGUGCCAGCAGCCGCGGUAAUACGGAGGAUGCGAGCGUUAUCCGGAUUUAUUGGGUUUAAAGGGUGCGCAGGCGGAUUUUUAAGUCAGCGGUCAAAUCGUGGGGCUCAACCCCAUCCAGCCGUUGAAACUGGGGAUCUAGAGUGUGCGAGAGGUAUGCGGAAUGCGUGGUGUAGCGGUGAAAUGCAUAGAUAUCACGCAGAACCCCGAUUGCGAAGGCAGCAUACCGGUGCACAACUGACGCUCAGGCACGAAAGCGUGGGUAUCGAACAGGAUUAGAUACCCUGGUAGUCCACGCAGUAAACGAUGAAUGCUACCUGUUUGGCCAGAUUGAAGGCUGA
rnacentral:rRNA from 1 species